UAGAGUUUGAUCCUGGCUCAGAACGAACGCUGGCGGCGCGUCUUAAGCAUGCAAGUCGGACGGCAAGGGGAGCUUGCUCCCCCUAGAGUGGCGGACUGGUGAGUAACGCGUGGGUGACCUACCCUCGAGAUGGGGAUAGCCACUAGAAAUAGUGGAUAAUACCGAAUACGCUCAUGACCCUUUGGGGAUAUGAGGAAAUCAGGCUACGGCCUGGCUCGAGGAUGGGCCCGCGUCCCAUUAGCUAGUUGGUGAGGUAACGGCCCACCAAGGCGACGAUGGGUAUCCGGCCUGAGAGGGUGAUCGGACACAUUGGGACUGAGAUACGGCCCAAACUCCUACGGGAGGCAGCAGCUAAGAAUAUUCCGCAAUGGACGAAAGUCUGACGGAGCGACGCCGCGUGGAUGAAGAAGGCCGAAAGGUUGUAAAAUCCUUUUGCUGAUGAAGAAUAAGUGUGGUAGGGAAUGACCGCAUGAUGACAUUAGUCGGUGAAUAAGCCCCGGCUAACUACGUGCCAGCAGCCGCGGUAACACGUAGGGGGCAAGCGUUGUUCGGAAUUAUUGGGCGUAAAGGGCAUGUAGGCGGUUUGGUAAGCCUGGUGUGAAAUCCUGCAGCUUAACUGUAGAAUUGCAUUGGGUACUGCCAGACUUGAAUCACGGAGGGGAAACUAGAAUUCCAGGUGUAGGGGUGGAAUCUGUAGAUAUCUGGAAGAAUACCGGUGGCGAAGGCGGGUUUCUAGCCGAUGAUUGACGCUGAGGUGCGAAAGUGCGGGGAGCAAACAAGAUUAGAUACCCUGGUAGUCCGCACCGUAAACU
rnacentral:rRNA from 1 species